AAUUAUUAGUAGUAUUCUUUAGUUAAAACUUAAACUCAGCAGACAAUAGACAUGUUUUUCCACACUUUUAAAAGUAUGACGAAAUAGUGUCUAUAAAUAGAAAUAGUUCACUGGCUUCCCUGUCCCUACCUCUACCUUUUCUAGCCUCCUCCCCCUUUUUUCUACUAUUUAUGCAAGGGUAUAAAUUCCAUCGCCUCCAGAUCAGUUUACAGAGCAGUGAACAAACCAGCUGAAGGGCAGAGCUCUAAGGAAAUCAUUACCUGCUGCUGCUGAAAGAGGAAUACUGGGAUCAGCAGGUGGAAGGAAAGAAAAAGAGGGAGAAGAUGUACAAAAAGCAGAAAAAGAAGAGUAUAGUCAGUAGAGAGGCGGAGCCGAGCAGUGAAAUAAACCGGAGCAGCAGUUACGACCUACACAUUAACUUCUGCGGGGUUCAUCCAGCUGCUAUCAGCUGGUCAGAUCUGGAGCUGUAGGAGCAGAGUCAUGUUCUGAAGGUUAGAGAAGUGGGUUUGGAGCUGGAAGAUCAUUAGUUGAAUCCCCUGAAUUUGCAGGAACUGGAGGAACAUCACCAUGUCCUCCCUUAACUGCAGGUCACCCAACACCCAGCUGCUCCUGGGACCAAGCCAGCCAACAGGACAUGUCAUAAAGAAUGUUAUAAAGAAUGUUAUAAGAAUGUUUGGCAACGUUUUACAUGUUCCAGGAAGUAUGAUCAGGAAUGACCAGGAAACAUGUGGCACAGUAAUGUUUUGUCAGAUAGACAACGUUACACUAACAUUAUAAAAACCUAUAAAGUAACAUUGACACAAUGAAUACCUAACAUCUAAUACAUGUGACCUGAAGCUGC